rnacentral:pre_miRNA from 1 species
CUGACUGUUUCAAAAGCUUGUAGUAUCUUAAUAAAUAAACAUAUAAGCUCGUGAUCAACAGGCAGAA